rnacentral:rRNA from 1 species
GACGAACGCUGGCGGCGUGCUUAACACAUGCAAGUCGAACGGAAAGGCUCCAGCUUGCUGGAGUACUCGAGUGGCGAACGGGUGAGUAACACGUGGGUAAUCUGCCCUGCACUCUGGGAUAAGCCUGGGAAGCUGGGUCUAAUACUGGAUAUGACCUUUCUCCUUAUGGGGUUUGGUGGAAAGUUUUUCGGUGUAGGAUGAGCCCGCGGCCUAUCAGCUUGUUGGUGGGGUGAUGGCCUACCAAGGCGACGGCGGGUAGCCGGCCUGAGAGGGUGAUCGGCCACAUUGGGACUGAGAUACGGCCCAGACUCCUACGGGAGGCAGCAGUGGGGAAUAUUGCACAAUGGGCGGAAGCCUGAUGCAGCGACGCCGCGUGAGGGAUGACGGCCUUCGGGUUGUAAACCUCUUUCAGCAGGGACGAAGCGUAAGUGACGGUACCUGCAGAAGAAGCACCGGCUAACUAUGUG